UACGGAGGGAGCUAGCGUUGUUCGGAUCUACUGGGCGUAAAGCGCACGUAGGCGGCGCCGUAAGUCAGGGGUGAAAUCCCGGAGCUCAACUCCGGAACUGCCCUUGAAACUGCAGUGCUAGAAUCUUGGAGAGGCGAGUGGAAUUCCGAGUGUAGAGGUGAAAUUCGUAGAUAUGCGGAAGAACACCAGUGGCGAAGGCGACUCGCUGGACAAGUAUUGACGCUGAGGUGCGAAAGCGUGGGGAGCAAACAGG
rnacentral:rRNA from 1 species